CAGCCACAACAGCCCGCUGGCUCGCACGGGGUGCUCUUCACCGAGUGUCCCGCGUGGCCGGCAGAGUUUACUUUGAAAAAAUUAGAGUGCUCAAAGCAGGCUACACUGACGGCCUGAAUGCCUAUGCAUGGAAUAAUGGAAUAGGACCUCGGUUCUAUUUUGUCGGUUUUCUGAACCCGAGGUAAUGACUAAUAGGAACAGGCGGGGGCAUUCGUAUUGCGACGCUAGAGGUGAAAUUCUUGGACCGUCGCAAGACGAACUACUGCGAAAGCAUUUGCCAAGGAUGUUUUCAUUAAUCAAGAACGAAAGUUAGAGGUUCGAAGGCGAUCAGAUACCGCCCUAGUUCUAACCAUAAACGAUGCUGACCAGCGAUCCGCCGGCGUUAUUCCCAUGACCCGGCGGGCAGCUUCCGGGAAACCAAAGUCUUUGGGUUCCGGGGGAAGUAUGGUUGCAAAGCUGAAACUUAAAGGAAUUGACGGAAGGGCACCACCAGGAGUGGAGCCUGCGGCUUAAUUUGACUCAACACGGGGAACCUCACCAGGCCCAGACACCGGAAGGAUUGACAGAUUGAGAGCUCUUUCUCGAUUCGGUGGGUGGUGGUGCAUGGCCGUUCUUAGUUGGUGGAGCGAUUUGUCUGGUUAAUUCCGAUAAC
rnacentral:rRNA from 1 species